AUUUGAAGUCACAUCAGUAUCAUCAUUGUGAAAAUUUCCUGGAAAUGUUUCUGGAGGGAGAUUUUGCUCACUUUUCUAAGUCUGCAUUUUAUGGGGAAGAACAAGUGCUGUUAAAUAAUGACUUUCACCAUGACUUUGGAUCAUAUAAUGACUUCUCCUGCUGAUUCCCAGCUUACAGACAUGCAUGUUUUAUGACACUGAAUUAAGAAUUGGGACAGCUGAGGAAUCAACUCCUAUUUGUUCUGCUACCCCCACUACAGCUGGAGGUCAUGGAAUUCUGAGUCUGCCUGAACUUGUCUUUAAACCCUGAACUUGUAAGAUUUUAAACAUGUGUUUGAUUUGAUACAUGUGAACACUAGACAAGUCAAUGAGAUGACUUACACUAUGAAAAGGAACUCAGCCUAGUCUCCUGGCAUUCCCUAUGGGUGGUUGGUUUGCUGGAAAAAUACUUGAAGAUGCAUUCAAUUUACGUGAGAAGAGAAUUUCAUAAGGAGAACUUGCUCUUCAAAAAACUCAAAUACAUGCCCGAGACAAAAGCUCACAUCAUGGAGAAAAAGAGUCAUGUUAACACCAGUUGCAAUAACAAUGACUCCCACAGUUUCUUCAGAGCAGGGCACCCAUAAAGAGGAGUGGUAGGUGUGAAGGUCAUCCCUCCAUGAGGCAAACACGAGACAAUCUCCACAAGAAAAUGGCACUUGGACAUUUGUUGUGCCAUGCGACAGUUAAGGCAAACACCACUGCUGGGAGAAAAGAUAACUGAAUCACCAGGACACUAGCCUGCUUCUGCUCUUACUGAUAUUUGUACUUGUGACCUUGAUGAAUCUACUUCUUCCAUUCUAAGAAUCAUAAACUAUAAUGUCAGUGGUUUACGGGCAGGUUCGGCCUGGUUCUGUGACAAAUGGG